rnacentral:rRNA from 1 species
ACGAACGCUGGCGGCGUGCUUAACACAUGCAAGUCGAACGGAAAGGCCCUGCUUUUGUGGGGUGCUCGAGUGGCGAACGGGUGAGUAACACGUGAGUAACCUGCCCUUGACUUUGGGAUAACUUCAGGAAACUGGGGCUAAUACCGGAUAGGAGCUCCUGCUGCAUGGUGGGGGUUGGAAAGUUUCGGCGGUUGGGGAUGGACUCGCGGCUUAUCAGCUUGUUGGUGGGGUAGUGGCUUACCAAGGCUUUGACGGGUAGCCGGCCUGAGAGGGUGACCGGCCACAUUGGGACUGAGAUACGGCCCAGACCCCUACGGGAGGCAGCAGGGGGGAAUAUUGCACAAUGGGCGGAAGCCUGAGGCAGCAACGCCGGGUGGGGGAUGAGGGCCUUCGGGUUGUAAACCGCUUUCGCCUGUGACGAAGCGUGAGUGGGGGUAAUGGGUAAAGAAGCACCGGCUAACUACGU